AUGGAAUAAAUCAGGAAAUCAUUGAUGCAGCAGCAUAUGUCCCACCACCUCCCUCUGAAGAGCAAAAGAAGAAAAUUGCGAAGAUGGCUGCAAUAGGAGAGCAGAAACGCCUCAAAAGCAAGAAGGUGCUUUCAGACAAGAAAGCGUUCAGAAGAAGCAAAAAUAGUUGGGACUAACACAUUCAUUUCCAGAUGGUGAACUUGUACAUUAUUUUUAGUUACAGGCACCAUAAUUGGACUAUAAAAUAGAAAUAUUGGACUAGCAUAGCACAACGCCUCUGGAGUUGUUACGUACUGAUACAAGGCCAAAAUUAUGAUGUACUAUCUAGGACUUGAUGAAUAUAGAAAUAUCAAUUAUUUGAUUUUAUCCUUACAAUGUUUCCAAUUUUCCUCAA